AUUGAACGCUGGCGGAAUGCUUUACACAUGCAAGUCGAACGGCAGCACGGGGCAACCUGGUGGCGAGUGGCGAACGGGUGAGUAAUACAUCGGAACGUGCCCAAUCGUGGGGGAUAACGUAGCGAAAGUUACGCUAAUACCGCAUACGAUCUACGGAUGAAAGCGGGGGAUCGCAAGACCUCGCGCGAGUGGAGCGGCCGAUGUCAGAUUAGGUAGUUGGUGGGGUAAAGGCUCACCAAGCCAACGAUCUGUAGCUGGUCUGAGAGGACGACCAGCCACACUGGAACUGAGACACGGUCCAGACUCCUACGGGAGGCAGCAGUGGGGAAUUUUGGACAAUGGGCGCAAGCCUGAUCCAGCCAUUCCGCGUGCAGGAUGAAGGCCUCGGUUGUAACUGCUUUGUACGGUACGAACGGCGAGCUCUAAUACAGUUGCUAAUGACGGUACCGUAAGAAUAAGCACCGGCUAACUACGUGCCAGCAGCCGCGGUAA
rnacentral:rRNA from 1 species